rnacentral:rRNA from 1 species
AUUGAACGCUGGCGGCAUGCCUUACACAUGCAAGUCGAACGGUAACAGGUCUUCGGAUGCUGACGAGUGGCGAACGGGUGAGUAAUACAUCGGAACGUGCCUAGUAGUGGGGGAUAACUACUCGAAAGAGUGGCUAAUACGGCAUGAGAUCUACGGAUGAAAGCAGGGGAUCGCAAGACCUUGUGCUACUAGAGCGGCCGAUGGCAGAUUAGGUAGUUGGUGGGAUAAAAGCUUACCAAGCCGACGAUCUGUAGCUGGUCAGAGAGGACGAUCAGCCACACUGGGACUGAGAAACGGCCCAGACUCCUACGGGAGGCAGCAGUGGGGAAUUUUGGACAAUGGGCGCAAGCCUGAUCCAGCAAUGCCGCGUGCAGGAUGAAGGCCUUCGGGUUGUAAACUGCUUUUGUACGGAACGAAAAGCCCCGGGUUAAUACCCUGGGGUCAUGACGGUACCGUAAGAAUAAGCACCGGCUAACUACGUGCCAGCCGCCGCCGUAA